rfam:Blautia sp. CAG:52 genomic scaffold, scf267
AGUAACUUAUAUGACUGACGGAAGUGGAGUUUACCACGGGGAGUAUAAGGGUUUGAAGCCGACCGUCUGGGCAGUGUAG